rnacentral:rRNA from 1 species
AGAGUUUGAUCAUGGCUCAGAACGAACGCUGGCGGCAUGCCUAACACAUGCAAGUCGAACGCCAUCCUCUGGAUGGAGUGGCGCACGGGUGAGUAACGCGUGGGAACCUGCCUUUUUCUGCGGGACAACGAUUGGAAACGAUCGCUAAUACCGCAUACGCCCUACGGGGGAAAGGUCCGCCGGAGAGAGAGGGGCCCGCGUUUGAUUAGCUAGUUGGUGGGGUAAUGGCUCACCAAGGCGACGAUCAAUAGCUGGUCUGAGAGGAUGAUCAGCCACACUGGGACUGAGACACGGCCCAGACUCCUACGGGAGGCAGCAGUGGGGAAUAUUGGACAAUGGGGGCAACCCUGAUCCAGCAAUGCCGCGUGUGUGAUGAAGGCCUUAGGGUUGUAAAGCACUUUCACUGGCGAAGAUGAUGACGGUAACCAGAGAA